UACGUAGGGUCCGAGCGUUGUCCGGAAUUAUUGGGCGUAAAGGGCUCGUAGGCGGUCUGUCGCGUCGGGAGUGAAAACUUACAGCUUAACUGUGAGCGUGCUUCCGAUACGGGCAGACUUGAGGUAUUCAGGGGAGAACGGAAGUUCCUGGUGUAGCGGUGAAAUGCGCAGAUAUCAGGAGGAACACCGAUGGCGAAGGCAGGUCUCUGGGCAUUAACUGACGCUGAGGAGCGAAAGCAUGGGGAGCGAACAGG
rnacentral:rRNA from 1 species